CAAAGUUCAACUCAGUCGCUCCAUUGGCCGUGAAUACUGAAUAGACAGGCAGCUGGAGGUCGUUACCGACACAAAAUUGGCCGUUCAGGAUAAAAAAUUCGAUGAUGGCGUUACGAACAAGGAAGGCGUCAAAAUCCUUCUAUAGUAUAUAUUUCCCGUAUAUCCUAAGACAAAGUAUGAUAUGGGUGUCACCUGAAUACAUAUUCUUCGGCGUUAGCGAAAUGGGCCUUCAAAUUUCCGGGAACUUUGCUCUGCAGUUUUCGACCUUAUUUGCGAAAUGCCUGUAGAUGUCAGCUGAAACAUUCCAUGACUAGAUUUAUGGUAACAAAGAAGUUACCAUUCAAACCAGGCGUAUUUCGACCAUUUGAAUAAUUGAAAAUAUACUGUCCAUCUAAGUCGUCAUCCACAUCCAAGUUAUGAGUUUAGUGUAUAGGACCAAAAUCCCGUUUACUGUUCACCAGAAGUACUUUUGCUUCCAGCUUCGAUUUACGCAACGCCAAUUCUAAGAUCAUUGGUCUGUGUAUCCAUAUGUUGUCACAUAAGAAUAACUGGCUUGUGUGUAUUUUACGCGUGAUGUAUCUUCAUUUGUAUACUUAAGUCUGGUUUUCCUUAUAUGAGGUUCAAUGUUUGAAGAGUUUUCUCCAUAUAUUUUUAUACUUUGUGCUUUUUUUAGUCAAGACUGAUGGUGGUUUCAAACCAUCUUGCCUCAGCUUCCUUUCUCAUCCUUGUAGACGUAGUGUUACUACUACUUGCUCUGAUUUUCAGUCUUCAGCUCUCCAUUGCCAUCUUCCAGUAUACAAACAUUAUUGUAAGACUUCUUUCUCUGACUCUGCUCUCACUUACAUUUUUAUUUGGUAAAUUGUCAGUUUUCCAAAUAAGUGAUCCCUUUCUGUAUUUCCCAUUACCUUCUGUUACUUCUGUCGAAUGACCACCAUAUUCUUUGGAAGCUUGAAUUUCAGGUUAGGGGACCCUGUGGGCUUCUUUUUUACGAAUAGGGUUCAUAUUCUGAAUAUAAUAAUGAUAAUGAUAAUAAUAGAAAUAACAACUGGACAUAUGCAUACACAAGCUCCUAGGGGCCUCCCUGUAAUUUUCUCUGUGACUGAUCUGGAUGGGCACACGUGACUUCAAAUUCUGUGGCUGUUUCUACCACCAUAUUCCUGGAAGUUGUAAUAUCAUGAUAAAGUUCCAACACUUGUUGAGUAAGACCUUCUUGUGCCCUUUGUUGUUGUAAGGUCUCAUCUAAUUGCUUGUCCGGGUACUUGGUUGAGUGCUUUCUCAAGACAUACCACCGUAUCACUUCCUUUUCUAACAUGUAUCUUCUUAUGUAGUCAUUGAUUUUAAAAGAUUUUUAUUAAACAUUUCUUCCAUCACCCAUACUUAUCACACUGUGUUUCAGCAGUCUUAGUUCCUCGGACGAGUGGU